AAAAAGAGGUUGUUUGAAAGGAUUACUUUUAGAAUUUGUAUAACUUUAUUUUCUUUUGACAGUAGCUUUUGAAAUUGAUUUUAUUGGUAGUAACUUUAAAUAUUUAGAGUCACCUUUCCUAGACAUUGGUGAUCCUUAAAGUCUUAUUUUGGUUCUUUAAUUUGGUGUUUAAACCAUAUAUUGACUAAAUCUUAUAAAGAAAAUAAUUGGAGAGGAAUU
rnacentral:lncRNA from 1 species